UGUAAUACAUCUGCUUCUUAACAGUUGGUGGAGAUGUGGCAUUGCACUCGUAUUUAGCUGGCCAGCCAAUCGAGGAAUCUCAGCAAAAUAUGCUUGCGUGUUUCCUGGUCUAUCACUCCAUCCCAGCACCAGAGGACCUUUCAGGAGCAGGAAUCGAAGGAAGUCAAUGUUUUUCUGAUCUGCUGCUGAAAUUCAAAGACAUGAAGUUGCCAGUCAGGGCAUUGCUAAGACUGGCACCAUUACUACUUGGAAAUUCCCAAUCCAUAGCCCUGUAACCAACUAGGAUCAUUUGGCAAUGUGCAACAGACAAAUCAGAAGUCCAAAACAUGUUGUGGAAAUUAUAAUCUGUACAGCCUUGUCCGGAAUUUUUUCGCUGUCGAUGCCGUUGUGGUUCACAAUACAAAAUACAUUUAGAACCUAUAAAUUAACACAGAAUUACCAGGAAGAGGGAACAAACAGUCAUAAAGAUGCACAAAUAUUUAAAACAGGAUUGACAUCUGUUGCGCAUGUGAAGGUGGCUGGGACAUUUGGACGAGAAGUGAAGAUAGGAAGAAUCCGGACUUGGAUGUAACAUGUGUUCAAUGCUGUGUUUGUCGUUUUCUCCAUCCUCUAGCAUGCACGGGCACGGUCCUCGUCGGUGGCUUUGGUUGAUUUUGAAUUAAUGUUGCCACUGCUCUGUAGUUUCACGUCUUUUGGAAGAAACCUUCUGGAAAGCAAUAACCAGGUUGUUGUUUUUUUUAUGGCCCUCCCCCGGUCUACUAUCAAAUAACACAGGGUUAAGAGAUUCUUGACUUAGCCUUGAGCCGUAUACUGGCUUUUGUCUUUUUGGCUAUUUAUACUGUUCUAGAUAUAGGAUUGUUGAGCUGUAAUGAAAAUUACAUUUGUAUAUACAUUUUUGGUAUACUAAAAACAAAAUAAAAAUGUAUCACUU